AUGAACGCUGGCGGCGUGCUUAACACAUGCAAGUCGAACGAAGCACAUUUGUGAAUCCCCUUCGGGGGUGAAGCAAAUGUGACUGAGUGGCGGACGGGUGAGUAACGCGUGGGUAACCUGCCUUAUACAGGGGGGAUAACAGCUGGAAACGGCUGCUAAUACCGCAUAAGCGCACAAGUGCUGCAUGGCACAGUGCGAAAAGAUUUAUCGGUAUAAGAUGGACCCGCGUCUGAUUAGCUAGUUGGUGAGGUAAUGGCUCACCAAGGCGACGAUCAGUAGCCGGCUUGAGAGAGUGAACGGCCACAUUGGGACUGAGACACGGCCCAAACUCCUACGGGAGGCAGCAGUGGGGAAUAUUGCACAAUGGGGGAAACCCUGAUGCAGCCGACGCCGCGUGAGUGAAGAAGUAUUUCGGUAUGUAAAGCUCUAUCAGCAGGGACGAUAAUGACGGUACCUGACUAAGAAGCCCCGGCUAACUACGUGCCAGCAGCGGC
rnacentral:rRNA from 1 species